GUUCUACUCCGUGUUGUUCACUCAAACAUGUAUGUAUCAUUAUUCUCCAGUUAAUUUGCAUUAGAAUUUUUCCUCUGCCUGAUGUGUGUGUGUGCGUGUGUGUAAAAUUGUAGCUCAUGAUAGCUUGAUAUGUUGUUUUGUGACUCUACCUUCUGUGUUUAAUUUCCUAGGGGUUGGGUAUGCACAUUUGUGAUUUUGCUCUGAAUGCAUAUGUAUGCAUUCGAUCAACCAUCUGUGUUUUGUUAAAUUUAUCAACUUUAUACUGCUGCACAUUGUGAGAAUUUG
rnacentral:lncRNA from 1 species